CCUGCACGUCAUUAGUGCGGGCUCCCACAUGAUGAGAGCAGGGCUUACCUGUCCCUCCCCUCUCCCCACUUGGAGGCAACGCCCCCUUUUCCACACUGACCCAUAGCAACGCAGGCUCCUUUACAGACCCCUCCCACCUUACUCCUCCCCCUCUCCUAUUUAAAAGCCAAGCAGCCCCACAAUGUCAGACAUUGCUGGAUGGCUGCAGCAGCUGUACACACUCUACACUGCUUGUGUUUUCUUCCCAUCUUCCGAUCCCUCUACUGACCUCUCUGGCCACUUUUUGUCAUUACAGGUAAAAAUAUAUAUAUAUACAAUCAAUAAACUUUUACGCUGUGACACUUCGGGCCAAAGGUCUUGCUACGCUGUGAUUGAUAUUAGAUGCCAGUCCUCACUCCUCUCCUUACCAUCUGAGGCUGGCCAUGCGUCCCGAUUGCGAUGUCCUUUUAAGGGGUGUGCUGAGCCGUUGAAACUUCUCGGGUGGUAUGAUUUUUUCUUAUCUGUACCAGUUUAAUGUUUUUCAUCUGUAUGUUAUUAUUUUCAACACAUUGUCAUUUAUUUGUUUUCUAGAAAAGUUGUCUGUUACACUUUCUGACUCCACAC